CACAUUGGACUCCAUGUGUACUCUUACAUGAUUUUCCCAUUCUAUCCCUCAUUUAAAGCAACAACCUAAAUCUUCUCCCUUUCUCUUUCUAGAAACUCUAGAUCGUCUCCGUUUCUCUUUCAACCAUCAACACCUCCUCUUCCUCCUCCACGAUGGUGUUGUAUUAGAUCCUCAAUAUGUUACCUUCAGAAAAUUUGUGGCUCCGUCGCUGGCCAAACCUUAAACGAAAACUUCGGGAGGAGGAAGAAGACUGAUCAUACAGUUGAGAGACAAAUGCUUCACGUGAAUCAGCUCAUGGCAUUUCAACCAAUGGACCACCAUCAAUAGAUUCAAAUUGUUUUAUGGUGCUAUCAUCCUUUGGUUGGUCAACCUUGUGAAGCAGCUCAAGCAUAUGUUCACUGCCAGAUUCUGUUGGAUCAUGAAAUGGAAGCAGCAUUAGAAAAAAUAUGACAUGUUUAGGAAAGAAAAUAUGCAGAAAACAAUUAAGGAUAUUGGAUCUUGAUUCGUUUAUAGAUUUGUUUUUGUUUU